CAGCAGCCACGGUAAAACAGAGGGUGCGAGCGUUAAUCGGAUUUACUGGGCGUAAAGCGUGCGUAGGCGGCUUCUUAAGUCGGAUGUGAAAUCCCUGAGCUUAACUUAGGAAUUGCAUUCGAUACUGGGAAGCUAGAGUAUGGGAGAGGAUGGUAGAAUUCCAGGUGUAGCGGUGAAAUGCGUAGAGAUCUGGAGGAAUACCGAUGGCGAAGGCAGCCAUCUGGCCUAAUACUGACGCUGAGGUACGAAAGCAUGGGGAGCAAACAGGAUUAGAUACCCGGGUAGUCCCUGUCUCUUAUAC
rnacentral:rRNA from 1 species